AUUGAACGCUGGCGGCAGGCCUAACACAUGCAAGUCGAGCGGAUGAAGGGAGCUUGCUCCUGGAUUCAGCGGCGGAAGGGUGAGUAAUGCCUAGGAGUCUGCCUGGUAGUGGGGGAUAACGUCCGGAAACGGGCGCUAAUACCGCAUACGACCUGAGGGAGAAAGUGGGGGAUCUUCGGACCUCACGCUCUCAGAUGAGCCUAGGUCGGAUUAGCUAGUUGGUGGGGUAAAGGCCUACCAAGGCGACGAUCCGUAACUGGUCUGAGAGGAUGAUCAGUCACACUGGAACUGAGACACGGUCCAGACUCCUACGGGAGGCAGCAGUGGGGAAUAUUGGACAAUGGGCGAAAGCCUGAUCCAGCCAUGCCGCGUGUGUGAAGAAGGUCUUCGGAUUGUAAAGCACUUUAAGUUGGGAGGAAGGGCAGUAAGUUAAUACCUUGCUGUUUUGACGUUACCAACAGAAUAAGCACCGGCUAACUUCGUG
rnacentral:rRNA from 1 species